CAGCCGCCGCGGUAAUACGAAGGGGGCUAGCGUUGCUCGGAAUGACUGGGCGUAAAGGGCGCGUAGGCGGAUUGCGCAGUCAGAUGUGAAAUUCCUGGGCUUAACCUGGGGGCUGCAUUUGAGACGCGUAGUCUAGAGUGUGAAAGAGGGUCGUGGAAUUCCCAGUGUAGAGGUGAAAUUCGUAGAUAUUGGGAAGAACACCGGUGGCGAAGGCGGCGACCUGGUUCAUAACUGACGCUGAGGCGCGAAAGCGUGGGGAGCAAACAGGAUUAGAUACCCGCGUAGUCCCUGUCUCUUAUAC
rnacentral:rRNA from 1 species